rnacentral:lncRNA from 1 species
GGGUAGACUAGGGGCAUGUCAUAGGUCGGGGUUGGGAUUAGGAAUUAUUGGGUCUAGGCUGGGGUUUGGGGGGUUAGGUUUGGGUCUGGUCUAGGAUCAAGUUUAGGGUUAGGGAUAGGGGUAGUAAGGUUAGGUGGGAUAAGAGAGCUUCUAGGUUGUGAGUUGGGUCUUGGAACAUUGGUACUUUGCAAGGUAAGUCUAUAGAGCUGGUGAAGAUUCUUAGAAAGGGGAGGGUUAGUGUACCGUGUGUCCAGAAAACUAAAUGGGUAGGCACUAAAGUGAGAGAUGUGG